AACGAACGCUGGCGGCAGGCUUAACACAUGCAAGUCGAGCGCAUCCUUCGGGGUGAGCGGCGGACGGGUGAGUAACGCGUGGGAACGUGCCCUCUUCUACGGAAUAGCCUCGGGAAACUGAGAGUAAUGCCGUAUACGCCCGCAAGGGGAAAGAUUUAUCGGAGGAGGAUCGGCCCGCGUUGGAUUAGGUAGUUGGUGGGGUAACGGCCUACCAAGCCGACGAUCCAUAGCUGGUUUGAGAGGAUGAUCAGCCACACUGGGACUGAGACACGGCCCAGACUCCGACGGGAGGCAGCAGUGGGGAAUAUUGGACAAUGGGGGCAACCCUGAUCCAGCCAUGCCGCGUGAUCGAUGAAGGCCUUAGGGUUGUAAAGAUCUUUCAGCUGGGAAGAUAAUGACGGUACCAGCAGAAGAAGCCCCGGCUAACUCCGUG
rnacentral:rRNA from 1 species